rnacentral:piRNA from 1 species
UAUUACAACAAAAACGAGCCUA